rnacentral:rRNA from 1 species
GUCCACGCCGUAAACGAUGGAUGCUAGCCGUCGGCAAGCUUGCUUGUCGGUGGCGCAGCUAACGCAUUAAGCAUCCCGCCUGGGGAGUACGGCCGCAAGGUUAAAACUCAAAGGAAUUGACGGGGGCCCCGCACAAGCGGUGGAGCAUGUGGUUUAAUUCGACGCAACGCGAAGAACCUUACCGGCUCUUGACAUGCCUCGAACCCCAGCAGAAAUGUCGGGGGCCCAGCAAUGGGCGGGGACACAGGUGCUGCAUGGCUGUCGU